rnacentral:rRNA from 1 species
GUGAGGUCGGACGUUCGAGUCGUUCCCAGGCCCACCACUGAUCCAGAAGGUUGGGCGUCGAUCUGAAGCUCUUGUUGUGCUGAGCGUGCUCUUAGGGGCCAUAGCUCAGUUGGGAGAGCGCGUGCUUUGCAAGCAUGAGGUCGUCGGUUCGAUCCCGUCUGGCUCCACCAUUUCCUGCAUUCCGAUGAGGGAUGCGGUCGAGAUGGUCGGUGGUGAAGCGCUUCAAGCGUGAGAGAAGAACAUCCGGUUCUUUUCUCUUCUGUCCGCACAAUCUGUUUCGCUGAUCCUCAGCAAGCCCCCAUGUGGGCGAGGAUGAGCGCUGCUGUCUGACAUUGUGAAUCUGGGCGUUUUCGAUUUGCUGGCCGCAAGGCUGGCGGGUCGUGACAAUCAAGCUUUCGGGCUUGAGAGGACACGAUCAUCGGGUGCUGACCGCACCGGUGUCGAAAAUGUCGAAGCUGGUCUUUAGCGUCCAGCCCUCUCGCUGAUCCGCCUGGUGCGGAUUGAUGAGAACCUCAGCCGAGGAGUGGGCAUGGACGAUGAGAACGAUCAAGUGUCUUAAGGGCAUUCGGUGGAUGCCUUGGCGCUAAGAGGCGAAGAAGGAACGUGGUACGCUGCGAUAUGCUUCGGGGAGCUGC